AAAGAAAACCUCAACUGCUCGAAGCUCAGA
rnacentral:piRNA from 1 species